rnacentral:rRNA from 1 species
UACAGAGGUGGCAAGCGUUGUUCGGAAUUACUGGGCGUAAAGGGCGCGUAGGCGGCCAUCUAAGUCAGACGUGAAAUCCCCCGGCUUAACCUGGGAACUGCGUCUGAUACUGGAAGGCUCGAGUUUGGGAGAGGGAUGUGGAAUUCCAGGUGUAGCGGUGAAAUGCGUAGAUAUCUGGAGGAACACCGGUGGCGAAGGCGGCAUCCUGGACCAACACUGACGCUGAGGCGCGAAAGUUAGGGGAGCAAACGGG